rnacentral:RNase_P_RNA from 2 species
GGUCCUGAGUAAUCGCGGUUAGCCUACGGGCUGGCUGAGGAAAGUCCACUCUCGCACAAGCUGUGAUGCUUGUAGUGUUCGUGCCCGGUGAAAAAAUAAGCCGAGGGACUGUUUAACAGUUACGGCGAAAGAGGCAGCUAAGGAUUUUUAAUCUAUGUUGUAGUAUUUCCUAAGGUGCUAUAGAGACGAUUGAUUCAAGAAAUUGAAUCACUGGAACGCAGUAAACCCCGCGAGCGGGAAACCCAAACUUUUGGUAGGGGAGCUUUACACACGGAAAUCAGAACUAAGUGUAGGGCAAGAAUCAAUGAUUCUUGAGAUAGAUGAUUACUACUCAAUUAUUGUUCCUGAUACUUUAAUUGAGCACAAAACAUGGCUUACAGGG